GUGGGGGAUAUUGCACAAUGGGGGGAACCCUGAUGCAGCGACGCCGCGUGGGUGAAGAAGCGCCUCGGCGCGUAAAGCCCUGUCAGCAGGGAAGAAAAUGACGGUACCUGAAGAAGAAGCCCCGGCUAACUACGUGCC
rnacentral:rRNA from 1 species